CCUACGGGAGGCAGCAGUGAGGAAUAUUGGUCAAUGGGCGCGAGUCUGAACCAGCCAAGUAGCGUGAAGGAUGACUGCCCUAUGGGUUGUAAACUUCUUUUAUAUGGGAAUAAAGUGUUCUAUGUAUGGUAUUUUGUAUGUACCUUAUGAAUAAGGAUCGGCUAACUCCGUGCCAGCAGCCGCGGUAAUACGGAGGAUCCGAGCGUUAUCCGGAUUUAUUGGGUUUAAAGGGAGCGUAGGUGGGUUGUUAAGUCAGUUGUGAAAGUUUGCGGCUCAACCGUAAAAUUGCAGUUGAUACUGGCAGUCUUGAGUACAGUAGAGGUAGGCGGAAUUCGUGGUGUAGCGGUGAAAUGCUUAGAUAUCACGAAGAACGCCGAUUGCGAAGGCAGUUUGCUGGACUGCAACUGACGCUGAGGCUCGAAAGUGUGGGUAUCAAACAGGAUUAGAUACCCCAGUAGUC
rnacentral:rRNA from 1 species